rfam:Veillonellaceae bacterium DNF00626 genomic scaffold Scaffold48, whole genome shotgun sequence.
GCGGAAGUAGCUCAGUGGUAGAGCACAACCUUGCCAAGGUUGGGGUCGCGGGUUCGAGUCCCGUUUUCCGCU